UACGGAGGAUCCAAGCGUUAUCCGGAUUUAUUGGGUUUAAAGGGUGCGUAGGCGGAUUGAUAAGUUAGAGGUGAAAUGUCCGAGCUCAACUCGGGAACUGCCUCUAAUACUGUUGAUCUAGAGAGAAGAUGCGGUAGGCGGAAUGUAUGGUGUAGCGGUGAAAUGCUUAGAGAUCAUACAGAACACCGAUUGCGAAGGCAGCUUACCAAUCUAUAUCUGACGUUGAGGCACGAAAGCGUGGGGAGCAAACAGG
rnacentral:rRNA from 1 species